rnacentral:rRNA from 1 species
AACGCAGCGAAGGGCGAUACGUAAUGUGAAUUGCAGAAUUCAGUGAAUCAUCGAAUCUUUGAACGCAUAUUGCGCUCUUUGGUAUUCCGAAGAGUAUGCUUGUUUGAGUAUCCGUAAAACAUCUCAAAUCUCUACUUUAUUGUAAAGAAUUGGACUUGAGCAAUCCCAACUCCUUCGUCAGAAAGAGAAGGGUUGCUCGAAAUGCAGGUGCAGCUGGACUUUUAUCUGAGCUAAAAGCAUAUCUAUUUAGUCCUCGUCAAACAGGAUUAUUACUAUUGCUGCAGCUAACAUAAAGGAUAAUUGUCCUCACUGCUGACUGAUGCAGGAUUUUGCGACACUUUAUGUGUUGUUCAACUCGAUCUCAAAUCAAGUAAGACUACCCGCUGAACUUAA